rnacentral:lncRNA from 1 species
UGCGUGCAAUUUGGGCCGUCCGUGCGCGUGCAAUAUGGGCCGUCUGUGCGCAUUUUUUAUCUGGGCCGUCCGUGCGCCCGGAACAGAUCUCAGCUGUGCGCACGCGAAUUGCCCACGUGGCUCCCUUCCGCGUGGCCUCCCGCGUCAGCGUCUCUGCCACGCGGCGUGUCCUGGUUGGUUGGGGCUGCUGACGUGGUGCAAUUUUUCUAAAUUGCGUUUUGAACCCCAGUUUUC